ensembl:lncRNA
GAGGAGGCAGGUAGCCUAGUGGUUAGAGUGUAGAGGAGGCAGGUAGCCUAGUGGUUAGAGUGUAGAGGCGGCAGGGUAGCCUAGUGGUUAGAGUGUAGAGGUGGCAGGGUAGCCUAGUGGUUAGAGUGUAGAGGUGGCAGGUAGCCUAGUGGUUAGAGUGUAGAGGCGGCAGGGUAGCCUAGUGGUUAGAGUGUGGAGGAGGCAGGUAGCCUAGUGUUUAGAGUGUGGAGGAGGCAGGUAGCCUAGUGGUUAGAGUGUAGAGGAGGCAGGUAGCCUAGUGGUUAGAGUGUAGAGGUGGCAGGGUAGCCUAGUGGUUAGAGUGUAGAGGUGGCAGGUAGCCUAGUGGUUAGAGUGUAGAGGCGGCAGGUAGCCUAGUGGUUAGAGUGUAGAGGAGGCAGGUAGCCUAGUGGUUAGAGUGUAGAGGAGGCAGGUAGCCUAGUGGUUAGAGUGUAGAGGAGGCAGGUAGCCUAGUGGUUAGAGUGUAGAGGAGGCAGGUAGCCUAGUGGUUAGAGUGUAGAGGAGGCAGGGUAGCCUAGUGGUUAGAGUGUAGAGGAGGCAGGGUAGCCUAGUGGUUAGAGUGUAGAGGAGGCAGGUAGCCUAGUGGUUAGAGUGUAGAGGCGGCAGGUAGCCUAGUGGUUAGAGUGUAGAGGUGGCAGGUAGCCUGGUGGUUAGAGUGUAGAGGUGGCAGGUAACCUAGUGGUUAGAGUGUAGAGGUGGCAGGUAGCCUAGUGGUUAGAGUGUAGAGGAGGCAGGUAGCCUAGUGGUUAGAGGAGAGGGGUAGGUAGCCUAGUGGUUAGAGUGUAGAGGAGGCAGGUAGCCUGGUGGUUAGAGUUUAGAGGUGGCAGGUAGCCUAGUGGUUAGAGUGUAGUGGAGGCAGGUAGCCUAGUGGUUAGAGUGUAGAGGAGGCAGGUAGCCUAGUGGUUAGAGUGUAGAGGGGGCAGGUAGCCUAGUGGUUAGAGUGUAGAGGUGGUAGGUAGCCUAGUGGUUAGAGUGUAGAGAGGGGCAGGUAGCCUAGUGGUUAGAGUGUAGAGGUGGUAGGUAGCCUAGUGGUUAGAGUGUAGAGAGGGGCAGGUAGCCUAGUGGUUAGAGUGUAGAGGUGGCAGGUAGCCUAGUGGUUAGAGUGUAGAGGGCGGCAGGUAGCCUAGUGGUUAGAGUGUAGAGGUGGCAGGUAGCCUAGUGGUUAGAGUGUAGAGGAGGCAGGUAGCCUAGUGGUUAGAGUGUAGAGGUGGCAGGUAGCCUAGUGGUUAGAGUGUAGAGGUGGCAGGUAGCCUAGUGGUUAGAGUGUAGAGGUGGUAGGUAGCCUAGUGGUUAGAGUGUAGAGGCGGCAGGUAGCCUAGUGGUUAGAGUGUAGAGGAGGCAGGUAGCCUAGUGGUUAGAGUGUAGAGGUGGCAGGUAGCCUAGUGGUUAGAGUGGAGGGGAGGCAGGUAGCCUAGUGGUUAGAGUGUAGAGGUGGCAGGUAGCCUAGUGGUUAGAGUGGAGGGGCGGCAGGUAGCUUAGUGGUUAGAGUGGAGGGGCGGCAGGUAGCCUAGGUGUUAGAGUGGAGGGGCAGCAGGUAGCCUAGUGGUUAGAGUGGAGGGGAGGCAGGUAGCCUAGUGGUUAGAGUGAAGGGGAGGCAGGUAGCCUAGUGGUUAGAGUGGAGGAGCGGCAGGUAGCCUAGUGGUUUGAGUGAAGGGAGGCAGGUAGCCUAGUGGUUAAAGUGAAGGGGAGGCAGGUAGCCUAGUGGUUAGAGUGUAGGGGCUGCAGGUAGCAUAGUGCUUAGAGUGGAGGGGCGGCAGGUAGCCUAGUCCUUAGAGUGGAGGAGGCAGGUAGCCUAGUGGUUAGAGUGGAGGGGCGGCAGGUAGACUAGUGGUUAGAGUGGAGGGGCGGCAGGUAGCCUCGUGGUUAGAGUGGAGGGGCGGCAGGUAGCCUAGUGGUUAGAGUGUAGAGGCGGCAGGUAGCCUAGUGGUUAGAUUGGAGGGGCGGCAGGUAGCCUAGUGGUUAGAGUGGGGG